rnacentral:rRNA from 1 species
GAUGAACGCUAGCGACAGGCCUAACACAUGCAAGUCGAGGGGCAGCACAUGAGUAGCAAUACGAUGGUGGCGACCGGCGCACGGGUGAGUAACACGUAUGCAACCUGCCUGUAAGAGGGGAAUAACCCGGAGAAAUUCGGACUAAUACCGCAUAAUACCACGAGACUGCAUGGUUUUGUGGUUAAACAUUUAUGGCUUACAGAUGGGCAUGCGUAUGAUUAGAUAGUUGGUAGGGUAACGGCCUACCAAGUCUACGAUCAUUAGGGGUUCUGAGGGGAAGGUCCCCCACACUGGCACUGAGACACGGACCAGGCUCCUACGGGAGGCAGCAGUGAGGAAUAUUGGUCAAUGGGCGAGAGCCUGAACCAGCCAAGUCGCGUGAAGGAAGAAGGUUCUAUGGAUUGUAAACUUCUUUUGCAGGGGAAUAAAGGACGGUACGUGUACUGUUUUGUAUGUACCUUGCGAAUAAGGAUCGGCUAACUCCGUGCCAGCCGCCGCGGUAAAAC